GGUGGUUCUUGGGUGACACACCCCAGAACCAGAGAGGGAGCCUGAUUCUGGGGUGUGUCACCCGAGAACCGUC
rfam:Myotis brandtii contig159845, whole genome shotgun sequence.